AGCGUGUUGAAACUAAUUCUGAAAAUAAAGUCUCCUGAAGCAGGCAUUUCUUUUUGUAAAGCUUAUUUCACACUUCACAGGUCACUUCACCUGAAACCACCAUUUUCACACCUUCUGUAUGGUUGUUAUUCACAGACAACAGUUACAGGACCAGGCUAUAGGUGAAUUGCAAAGCUUGGGUGUGGUCUCAUGCUCACAAAGCUGAGUACACAUCCAGUCACGUUAACUCAGAUUAAAGGUCAGUCAGAUUAAAGGACGUGGAUUUAUAGUUCCGUUUCUAAUACAAAGAUUUUGGCAAGUUUUGGGGAAUUUGGGAAUUCAUUUGCUAAUAUUUUUAGUCUAAAAUAACUCGACCUGUGUUUGUAUCUUCUCAAAGGAAAUUGUAAAUAUUGUUUUGUUAAAUACAGGGCUAUUAGACUGCUCAUUUUCCUAUGUUAUUUCUGUUCUUAUCCUACCAGAAUUUUCUGUUUGAAAGAAUCUCCACUUUUCUGCCACCAAAUUGUCAUGGGGCUCAUUACCUCCGAUGAGAUGAGCAAUGGUGUGGAAUAACUAAACUGACCUCCUCAAAGAAACUUGCCUGUCAGGGAUAACACAGGAGAACGUGAGCUGAAGGCUCCCUAUGGCAGAGAAGGGAAAAUUAAAUGAAGGUCUCCUUGAUCCUGAGGACAUCAGCUCAGUGAGCAUUGAUGGGAACACCAUGCUGUUUGUGAUUCUCCACCCCUAGUCAAAAAAAACUUGUUCUCAGCACAGCUUUUGAAAGAACCUGGCACCUUUGCAUUCUGGACAAUGGAUGGAGGUAACAAGACGGAGCAUAAGCAUUAUCUUCUGUCAGGAGCAGACUGCUGGAGCUGAUGCUGGCUGGUAAUUCAAGUUGCACUUCUGCUGUGCAACUGUAAGGUGAAGGAGACAUUGUGAAGAAACCGAAAAGAUGGGUAAAAGACACAGAAAUAUUUCCCUCUGAGAAGCUGCUUAGAGCAAGUUACAAGAAGUUGAGAAGGAAAAUGCAGUUCCCCUCCCUGAUGUGCAGCAAUCUGGUAGUCUCUACUAAUAACCAGGAGCAUGAGUUCAUCAAGAUGUUGUUUUCUGGAUUUAAAUCAAGAACAUCAUUGAAAUCUGCUUUUGCUGUCAGACAUGAGCUAUCCCUUAGGAGGUAGGGACAGGGCACCACCUGGAAUAUCCAAGUAGGAUCAUGCUGGUCAUGAUGGAAAAUUGGUGUAAUGUCACAAUGGAGCUGCAAAGCUACUCGAGGCAUCCAUGAGACCUCAGGGUGGAACUGAUAGGAGCUCCCAUUUUGUUAGACCUGGAGUAUUCCAAACCUGUCCACCAUGGGAGAGUUCUGCUCAUGUUGGAUAGCUAUCAAAGUCCAUUUGUCUCUCUCCUACAGGCAAGGAGCUGAAGCAGUAGCUGGCAUAGGUCAAGAUGGUGCUGCUGAAUCAGUUGCUGCUGAGGGAAAAUAACAUGGUUCCCACUGUGUGUGCUAUCUAUGUCUUGGGAUACUUCUGUGAAGGAGAAAAGUUGUGAAUCUCCAGGUACUUCUGAUCAUUUCACAAGUGCAUGUCCUUUAAGGUGAAGAGGGACCAUUAGUCUCUGACCAUGCUUCAAGUGGGUCACAGAGUCUCAUGAAGUUACCGGUGCAACAAGGCAUAUAACUUGCAAGUUAGGAAUAAGACAAAACAAGUCAGCUAGAAUGAAAGCCCUGGGGUGUUACUGCUGCUGCAUCCAUGGAGGGCAGAGGAAUGUGCUCAGAGACUGCCCAGCCAGCACUGGCCAUGCGCUUGCUUCUCUUCUGGCCCAGGCAAAGGUCCUGGCCAUCCUCUUUAAAGUAUCCCUAAGUAUGAGAGGAGCAGUGCUGCCAGGAAUAUUUGCUUGUGAAGCGGUUAUAAAGUGGAAAAUGUUAUCUUAAUGAGCUCUUUCAGUCACCAAAUGCUAGUAAAGCGGAAUCUUUCAGUCACCAAAUGCUAGUAAAGCAGAAUCUUUCAAUUUUGUUCUUUUUUUUCCCCCUUGGUUCUACAUGGUUUACAAGCUUAGGAUAACUGAAGAAUACAACUUGCCUUUAGAGAAACCUCUUCCCACCGUUGACAAUUCAAAAUGUUAGACUUAUUCAAAAUGACAUUUGCAUGUCUAAGUGGAUAGAUCACUUUCAGUGUGAGAGUUACAAAGUCUGCUCUCAUCUGUCACUGAGUUUAUGGAAGUGCAUCUUCUCAGAACAAGCUUCUCUUUUUCUUUCUUUAAGUUCUUACACACAAACUUCACUAACUCCCGUUACAAAAUUAAAACUGUGCUGACACGCAGUUUUUUGUAGUCUUUUGAGUGGUUUAUUGUGUAAUGGCUGAUUUGUUCCAGAUUCCACUUCAAGACUACGUUAACAACAGGGUCAUCCAGAAUGUUCCCCCUUUCUGCUAUUUCAAGAAUUGCAAGUAUUCUUUGUGUUCUAUCAUGCAAAUGUAAAUACGAUCCCCUGGCCUUUGUGAAGCUAAACUGUAAAUGAAACAAUUGGCAAUUUCCUGCAUCUUAGGGCAAUCUGACUGCUCUGCAGCCCAACCCGCAGGCAGCCCAGCCCCUGCUGUCAUCGCCGAACAGACGAGGAAGGGAGACAUCUAAAGGCAUCCCCGGGAAGUUCACUCUCCUCCUGCACGCGCCGACCUCGGAUUUCGACCACCGGUUUGAUAGAGGCAAGUAUCCCCGUUGUGCAAAAGUAGAUCCAGCGCAGAAACAAAUUAUUUCUGAGAAGCAUUGCGCGGAUUCCCUGCAGUCGUGUCAGAGAGGACAGUCGUGUCUCAGCUCCAGCAGCCACAUACUACAGUAUGCUGCUUGCUUCCUAGCUGCGUUUCUUGAAGAGUUUUUGAUCUGCACUUCCAUGCUUUCCCAUCGCACCCCAAGGUCACUGCUGAAAGGGAAGGUGCAGAUGGAAGCUGAGGUGUAGAGGCACCACCACUCCUACCUGACAGGGGACGUGCAGGAGCAUCAGUAACACACGCAAUAAGCAUUCCAACUUCCAGGAGGCUGCACAGCAUUCCCCACUAGGAGCAAGCAGGAAAGUGGAAAAAGUCUCCUCCACUCCAGAGCUGUCAGUGGAAAUGGCUGUCUUCCCAUCAGGAUAGUGCAGUACAAAGCAGAUGGUGCAUCUGGUCCCGGAUCUGGAGCUGAGGCACCCGCCUCCUUCCCCUCACCUUGUCUGAGAUCGAUGGUAGCUCCGAGGCCCAAAGUGCUCCUUUCUUUCUUUGCCAUCAUUGCCACCCAAAGUGCAGCAGGUCAGGGAGCUGCUGGAGAGGUGACGCAUCAAGGCUUGCUGCAAUGCAUUUUCUCUCUGAAUUCCCCUUUUGGAAGUAAAGCUAAUCACUUUUGGACACCACAGAGUCCCUCCUCCCCAGCACCGCUGGUGUCCAUGCCAUACGUGAGCUCUGCAUCCAUCUGCAAGGCUGCUGGGCCAGGAUUGAAAUACAAAUAUGUACAGAGAGCCAUGGCUGACCUUAGUGCAGCAAGUAAGAACUGUCAAACUGUUCUAUAUGGUGAGGGCUGGUGCCUCUAUAACGUGUGCCUGUACAGAACCAGUUCUACAUGCUAAAUGUAGUCAAAGGCUGGCAAAAAGAUGCAGCGUGCCUGCGAGGCAGCUCUCUGGGUGCAUGAUAACCAACACAGACAGGACUAUGUUAUCAUGAAAGAAAACUAUGUACAUACUUUGUAUCUGCCAUUGGAUUUUGGCCUUGCAAGAAGAACUUCCAUGUGUGCUUCGUGCCCCUUUUAGCGUUUUAUGAACCCUUUGAGUCGGUGUUUGUCUGCUGUGGUGUCCAAAGCAAAGUACAAUGUGGCUUUGCAAGAAGUCUCUAAAUAAUCAAAGGAAAAAUAUUUGUAAACACAUCUCUUGUCUGCCAUGCAGCUUCUCCCUAAUGUGACACGGAUUUUUCCCCACAGGAGGCUGCUAAAUUAUUGCUUAAUACUGAGGCAGCAUCUCACAUACUCCCUCUGGGUUGUCCUCUCACUAUAUAAAGUAGCCUUCACUUCCAGCUAGCAUGAGCCUUAACCCUCUGGGAGCCACCAGUUUCCACCCCACUUUUCGCAGGAUCAUCCUCUCUGAGAAAUACAGCCGUUUGCUACCAGCUGAGCAUGCCGUACUCCUCCACUCAGGCAGGUUUCAAGCCUCGUUGGAUCCAUAUGCUCCAAAUGAUCCUGCUGAUUUUUCUCCUGGUUUCUGCAUGGGGAUGACUUGUGACUGUCUCAUCCAUGCAAAGGCUGCCAUAUGCUCUUGGGUACCAGCAGGAGCAAGACAGGACGGAUUAUGACCUUCAGAGGACUGCAGCUGCCACCAAAGAAGUACAGGACCUAUGUGUAAGCUUUGAGUUUUCCUGUUAAGACUUGCUGUCUGACACGCCCCUUUGCACUCAGAUUUGUCAUGCAUCUUACAUAAUUACAUUGAAUAAUAUGCUUUGUGGCAAAAAAAUUCUCGAAGAUGUAUCUGUGAACAUACAUUUGUUUUUAAGGCUGUAAGGAUAUGGAAUGUGUAUUCAUUCACUGAGAUGCUCCCAAAAGAGUAGAAGGAUUAGCAAAUGAAAGUAAAAUAGAUCUGAUUUAUGCAGUAAUACAGUACAAAGACUGUGCAGGAAUAAUGCAAACAAUCAUUUUAUAUGUGUUUAUGCACAUUAACUCUCUAAGUGAUUAUACCGUCUCUAACAUCUAGGUUAUCACAGGGUUCUGUAAUGCUUCAAAGGACUAUAGCUGCAAAGAGACAAGCAUAAGUUCCAUUUUGGUAACAGCAAAUGCAUAUUUUUGCUCGCACAACCUGCCUCCUCUGUCAGCUGUACCUGCACUUCUGUCUGCUCUUUGGCUGAUAAAAUGCCACUGACGUCAACUAUAGCAAAGCUCCGUGCUUGAUAUCUGUGCAAAGAGGAAGAGGAUCAGGGCCACACACAAACAAAUGUCAGUCAUCAAGGGCUAAGUGCUCAGAGGAAAGGUAAGUGAAAGGGGCUUUGUGUAACUCUUCCGCCAUCCUCAGAGGUGACAUAAGGUUGGAUCUAGCUAAGGAAGACUGCGAGUUGCCUUCUUUUUACUUCGUGUGCUCUUGGAGGAAAUGCUUUGAAAAGGCUAAAGCCGCUGACAUUUUGGUGCUAUGAGAGGUGGAAUGUUAGCUAGAAAUUAAUGGAAACACUCCCCUAAGUGUGUGAUCCAUUAAGUUGUUUUGCAACACUGGGAAAUGAAGCAUGGAGUAUUUUACUGAAGUCAGUGUCCCAUGGGGAUGAAAGAAAGAUCAGAAUCUUUCUCUGCAAUAGGCUGAGCUCUGCCAGCAAGGAUGUAGAUAUGAAAACAGAAUAUCUCCAGUUUAGUUGAAAGAAUUGCCCUGAGUUUGAAGACUAACCCAGGGUCUGUCCC
ensembl:lncRNA